rnacentral:lncRNA from 1 species
UUAAGGCCAAGGAGAUAAAACAUGGUUCAAUUGAAAGAUUUAACUUACAACGAGGCACCUUUUCUGAAACAGAUAAAACAAGGAGGCAUUGGUAGUCCUCCGUAGUUGGUAGUACGGAGUAUGUCUGAGUUCGUUACGGACGAUUCCAAAUCGGUACAAAUGCUUCCAAACAUUAGCCGGGAUAACACGGGCUGACGGGCGUGAGUACUGUGAACUCCCCGUUGACCAGCAGCAGCCUACGCAAGCAGGAGAUUCUCUGUUACGGUAAUCAAGAACUUGCGGCAUGUGGAUGAGGAUGCGCGCGUGAGCUCUGCACCGCCCCAACCCGCGGCAUCAUAAUCGCAGUACCUGUGUCGCCAAAGCCAGCAUCUCGGACAAAACCCACCGUUGCUUGCGUCAAUGGGAACUGGGCCCCUACUGUUGGCCGUAAUGUAUGAGCCAUGCCUUGUCAGGCCUCCAACUCGAGCUGUCGGUCAAAGUUUAAACCGGAGUGGUAACGAGGAAAGGCGCAGAGAAACACACCGCUUCACGCGACGUUUAAUAGAUGUUAUAGAGCUGCUCGCUCGUGCAGGUUGACGCGGCCUCUCCAAAGUUGGGUUGCCUUCACUCACCAAAAACGAAACGCAUUGACCUGUCAGACUGCAGAUCACACGCAGGUAAGGCGUGAUGCUGAUUCUUCGUGUUCCCUCCCGCCCUUGUACUGGACGGUGUUUGCAACUGAUGCAAGCAAAAAAUUAGGAAUGGUGCUUAGUACAAUAUCAUACGGCGUGCAGCUGUUAUCGCUUGACACAAUUAUUGUGACCGCAGGGAAAGCCAAGUAGCCAAGGCUGUGAGUCUACACAUGUUUUGUUUCUUCAUAACAUUUUAUCAUUGCCAGUGCCUGGCUCAGUGUCUUUCGUGAUCCUAUAGUUACGAUUGC